rnacentral:rRNA from 1 species
CCUCAGAACGGUCGGAAAUCGUUCGAAGAGUGUAAAGGCAGAAGGGAGCCUGACUGCGACACCUACAAGUGGAGCAGGGACGAAAGUCGGGCUUAGUGAUCCGGUGGUACCUCGUGGGAGGGCCAUCGCUCAACGGAUAAAAGCUACCUCGGGGAUAACAGGCUGAUCUCCCCCAAGAGUUCACAUCGACGGGGAGGUUUGGCACCUCGAUGUCGGCUCGUCGCAUCCUGGGGCUGAAGUAGGGUCCCAAGGGUUGGGCUGUUCGCCCAUUAAAGCGGCACGCGAGCUGGGUUCAGAACGUCGUGUGAGACAGUUCGGUCCCUAUCCGUCGCGGGCGUAGGAAAUUUGAGAGGAGCUGUCCUUAGUACGAGAGGACCGGGAUGGACUGACCUAUGGUUGUACCAGUUGUUUCGCCAGAAGCAUAGCUGGGUAGCUAAGUCGGAAGGGAUAAACGCUGAAAGCAUCUAAGUGUGAAGCCCACCUCAAGAUGAGAUUUCCAUAGCAUAAGCUAGUAAGACCCCUUGAAGACUACAAGGUUGAUAGGUCAGAGGUGUAAGUGCGGCAACGUAUUUAGCUGACUGAUACUAAUAGGUCGAGGGCUUGACCAA